UCCCUGGAGGACUAGUGGUUAGGCCACAGCGCUCUUACCACUGCAGCCCGGGUUUAAUUCCCUGCCAGGGAA
rnacentral:tRNA from 1 species